UACAGAGGCCCCAAGCGUUACUGAGAAUCACUGGGUUUAAAGGGUGCGUAGGUGAUCCGUUAAGUUCGUUGUGAAAUCCCUGGGCUCAACCCAGGAAAUGCUUCGAAUACUGGCGGACUUGAGGCUAGUAGGGGUCACUGGAACUGACGGUGGAGCGGUGAAAUGCGUAGAUAUCGUCAGGAACGCCAAUGGUGAAGACAGGUGACUGGGCUAGUUCUGACACUGAGGCACGAAAGCGUGGGGAUCAAACGGG
rnacentral:rRNA from 1 species